GACCCAAUGGCAUAGUGGUUAAUGCACCUGCUUAGACUAACUUGCUGGUGCGGAAUAAGCAGGAGACCCUCGUUCGAAUCGAGGUUGGGUCA